rnacentral:lncRNA from 1 species
AAAAAAGGGAUAUAUUGGCCGAUAUUUUCAUCUUUGAUUCUAUGACAGGCUUUUGGAAAAAAUGGUGAUCUUAAAAAGAUCCAGGAAGCUACCAAAAGGCCUCAUGUUAGAUGGAGGCGGACAUGUACAUAUAAGGCACAUCACCCCCUCUCCAUUGGUCUAUGUGGGAUGUUACAAUCCACCCCCUUUUAGGGGUCUGACGUCCUCGUCGACACACUAGCACCACACGACAGAGUGGCUUUGAUACCAAAUUGUCAUAUCCCGGGAUCGGCUCUGCCGUACCACGAUAUUGUCGGCUUUGGGCCGCCCUCUCUGCCCUCACGAUUUUGUUUUUGGGAACUCACAAGCAACUUCCCAAUGAGUCACCCAUCCUAGGAUUCUUCUAGCCCCAACUCACUUAACUUCGGAGUUGUCAUGACUCCGAAGAUAGUGAGCUCCCAAAAAGCCUCAUGCUAGAUGAAGGCGGGCAUGUAUAUAUAAGGCACAUCACCUCAUCUCCGUUGGUCGAUGUAUGAUGUUACAGAAACAGUCACGAGGAAACAAAUAAAAAGAAAAAAGAAGACUAUUGCCCAAAAUAAUACAUGAGGGACAAAAAUGAUCCCAGUGGAGUCUAGUGAUCGAGCAAUAAUGGCCUCAUUAAAACCUUGUCUUAAAAUACCCCCAAAUGAAGGAAAAUCCAAUAAAGGAAAAAAGAGUACCACUGUAAAGCUUGCUCAUCAACAACAACCAACAUGCAAAACUUGGGCAAGUGGACAAUGAAUAAAUGAUGCACAAAGUGGUCCAACAAAGUCCAAUCCAGGAACGAGUCACAAGACCAACUGAAAAGAACACCAACUGCAACAGCAUCAGCAUCAGACUGCAGCAUGUCUUGUAACUGCUCCACUGCAAAAUUGUCUGCGAAAGGUGAACGCUAUGGUUCUUCAAGAUUGACAAACAACCUCGCAACCAACACCACAAACAAAAGAAGAUUUAGUUAGGAUGCUAAACAAGAUGGAAACUAUUGGAGAUAAGAAUUAAAAUAAGGAAAAGGUGGCUAAAACUAAAAUUCAUAAAAAGAUAAAGGAAAGAAAAAAGCAUAAAAUAAAAUGACAUGCGCUUCAACAAAGGCAAAAACAAGUAGAUGAAGUAAAUAACACCACAUACAAAAAGGAAGAAAACAAAGCUUGAUACUGGGGCAAAAAAACAAAAAUAAAAAUAAAAGCAAAGAAAGAAAAACUACUCCCUGACUUGAAAGAGGAUGUCGCCAUGGAACUGUGGAUACCCAUAACUGUAAGGUUGAAAGAAAAAAUCAACCAAACUGCUUCAAUUGUUCUAGAAAUUCAUGUGUCUCGUCCUCUCCCAAAUCUAGGUACUCUCUCGACAACAACAAUUUCAAGAUCUAACGAUCAUUGAUCCAUCUAUCUCCAUCUCUAUUGAAACCUUUAUCACCACCACCACGAAGAUGGCAUUUUCAGUUUUGGCUACAGUACGCAUUGGAUAACAGCAUCAGGGUCGAUAACUCACCCUCGUUUAGGUUCGCGCUCUGUGGGGUACAUGUGAUUUGUC